UGACCUUUACCUCCUUGAGGAAUGUC
rnacentral:misc_RNA from 1 species